rnacentral:sRNA from 1 species
UGAUUCCAGUGUCGAAAGUCCCUCCGCCGCGACGUGCCUUGCACGGGAGCGGAGAGAGGACUUUAUGACACGCCCUUUCAUGAGCAGGAAGCGGUGCUCUGCGCCGCGGGACUGCGAAUGAAAAGGAGCAGGGCGAAAGCUGCGAAGCAGCGAAGCCAUGCGGGGAAUCA